rnacentral:rRNA from 1 species
GACGAACGCUGGCGGCGUGCCUAAUACAUGCAAGUCGAACGCUUCACUUCGGUGAUGAGUGGCGAACGGGUGAGCAAUCCAUUAGUUACCUGGCAUCUACAGUGCGAUUACUGAUGGAAACGUCAGCUAAGACCGCAGAGGUUUCCGGAUAGCAUGAACUGUUGCUUAAAAGUGCUACGGAACUUGUAGAUGAUGGACUUAUGGCGCAUUAGCUUGUUGGUAGGGUAAUGGCCUACCAAGGCGACGAUGCGUACCCGAACGGAGAGGGUGACCGGCCACCCGGGAAGGGAGACACGGACAAGACUCCUACGGGAGGCAGCAGAAGGGAAUUUUCGGCAAUGGGGGAAACCCUGACCGAGCAAGGCGGCGUGAAGGACGAAGUAAUUGGUUAUGUAAACUUCUGUCAUAGAGGAAGAACGGUGGAUGUAUGGAAUGAUAUCCAAGUGACGGUACUGGAUAAGAAAGCCACAGCUAACUACGUG